rnacentral:rRNA from 1 species
UACGUAGGCAGCGAGCGUUAUUCGGAGUUACUGGGCGUAAAGGGUGUGUAGGCGGUUGUUUAAGUUUGGUGUGAAAUCUCCCGGCUCAACUGGGAGGGUGCGCCGAAUACUGAAUGACUAGAGUGCGGGAGAGGAAAGUGGAAUUCCUGGUGUAGCGGUGAAAUGCGUAGAUAUCAGGAGGAACACCGGUGGUGUAGACGGCUUUCUGGACCGUAACUGACGCUGAGACACGAAAGCGUGGGUAGCAAACAGG